rnacentral:misc_RNA from 1 species
UCAGCAAUCAUUCAAAAGGAAAAUGGUUAUAAAUGCACAAAGGAAGGAUGUCCAUCUACACAAUUUGAAUGGAAGUACAAGAUACCAUUCAUUGCAAGUGACCACACCUAUAAUCUAGAGUUUAUGUUCUUUGAAAAAAAGGGAAUGGAGCUUAUAGGAAAGAGUGCAUCGACUCUUCGAAAACAAUAUGAACCAAAGGAGAUACCACCGGAUAUAACAUCUUGGAUAGGUUAUAAAUUCACUUUUGUUGUUAGAGUCCUAUCAAAGAAAAGUGUCAAGACUAUUGAUCCAUCCUUUGAAGUGCUUAUGAUAAAAGAAAAAUACCA